GACUUCUCCCUUCUCAGAAGGCUCUGGAAUGUGACCCACAAUGCUUGUGAUGCAAUCAGUAGACUAGGAGAAAUAAGAGAGAGACACACAUGAUUGUCUUGCUUUUUUUUUGGAGACAGGGUCUCACUUUGUCACCCAGGCUAAAGUGCAGUGGCUUGACCUUCUGGGUUCAAGUGAUCCUCCUGCCUCCCAAGUAGUUGGGACUACAGGCAUGCACCACCACGCCUGGCUAAUUUUUGUGUUUUCUGUAGAGACAGGGUUUCACCAUGUUGGCCAGUUGGUCUCGAACUCCUGAGCUCAAGCAUUGCACCCGCCUCAGCCUCCCAAAGUGCUAGGAUUACAGGCAUAAGACACCGUGUCUGGCCUUUCUUUUUUCUACUGAUGCGGGAUGAGGUAGAACUUAGAUGGGUCUGGAGGGCGUGACAGAUUUUGGAGUCUCCAGGUAGACUCAUUAUACAGAUGGCGUGGGAGGGAAUGGAAUGGGCCCUAGAGAGCUUACCUGAAGUUUUAAAAGUCUCUCUGUCACAAGGUCUGCCUGGAAAGGGCAGGUGUGGGGAAGGAGGAGGCUCCUGGUGGUCCAGCCUAAAUGUAGGCAGGAAGUAGCUCCCUGUGGAACACUGGGGAUGCCCUGCUCCUCCUGAACUUGACCACCUGCCUGUCUGGGUGCAGGAGUCUCACCUACAGACUUGCUGUUUUUAGUUAAGAUAGUAAGGUAGUGUUUCCUGAAAUGAAUUCAUAUUCCAAAGAUGUUAAUAGCUAGCAGGGGAGAUAGGAUGUGUGCCCAAACACCCUUGGGACAGGCUGGCAACAACCAGUGAAGCUUAUUUAUAAAGUCUCAGAAUCUUCUAGAUGGGGAUUUAGUAUGUAGUGCUUGUCAAACCUCUUUGACCACUUAUCCACUUUUUUCUAAGUGCAUCAUGGGGACCAGUCUUUCUCAGGACAGGCUGUGAGGAAUGCUGGGUAAGGUCCCUGUCAACAUAUCAACUCGAUACCUGGGAGAGGAAACAUACUGACCUGUUAAGCCCACUGUCUUCUGUUAGCAAGACUAAUAUUAUGGCGCCUGCUGAAUGCUCUGUGUGAAUGGAGGCGCACUGCCUCCCCCACUUAUCCUGAGAGCCCCUGAGUGCUGGGACCUCUUGGUGUGCCUGGUGCCUGCAGACAGAAGAUGCUGAAGGCAGGUGGCUGCGUGUUAUAAAAGCCAUUAGAAAUGCCAGCUACUUUCACUCCACAGAGGCUCUGGCCCCUUGGAAAAGCAGGGAUGUUUUGGUUAGGAAAGGGAGGCUGGGCAAGGUGGAGAGUGCAGGUUACUGGAGGAAGGAGGUGCCUGCUGAAUGAGUAGCACUGAGACCACUGCCCAGGCUGGCCAGGCAGGGAAGAAGUACAGGCAGUGGGGAUGGAGAAGGGGAGUGAGCAUGGGGAGGAGGGCAGCAGAAAGGUCUUGAGAUCAAUUUGAGAGGGGUCUCCAGAGUUGCUUCUGUUAGGGUCCAAAUCCAACUCUUGGCUCAGUAACCCUGUCUGACCCUGACUUUGGGAAAGGUCUUUUUGGAUCACACUAUUCACAGGGAACCACAUCUUUUCUGCAGAAACUCUUGUAUUCUGGGAAAACCUGCAAGUUGCAGGCAGAUACACCACUUUUGAAGUGCCCACAUACUGGGAGGCAGCUCCCGGGUCACCUGUUCGAGAGAAUUACAGUCUCAUUUCAGAUGCUCUUUUAACAGGCCUUUAUAAAGUGUUUCCAGUAGGUCCGGCCCUGUUUGUGGUACUCUGAAUCAGGGGACUGUCUUCAGGGAGCAUACACUCCAGCUCUGGGCAGUAAGUAUGCUGGUUCAACUGCAAAGACUAUCAUGAAACCAGGGCACAGUCAACACCAGAUGAGGGCAGGAAGAUGGGGCAGUCACUGUAUGAAGAAGGAAACAGAAAAGGGGCCAGGGUGGAUCUUGGUUUGGGGAGCCUCUUAAAAAUACAAAAUCAUGAACACAAAAUUAGAUAUGAAAAUGAAUAUUUAUGUUUAAUCAGAAAAGGAACUGCAGCAAAUUAAAAAUUAUAAAAAGCUGGCAAAUACUACAAACACCACACCAUUCAUAAAAAUAACAUUUUUACUAAUUAGCUGCUUGGCAAACUGCUGGCAGCAAAUGUAAACAUGCUGCAUAAUCUCUGAUCUUCUCUUCUGUGACAAUUUUGUAAUAUGCUUCUUUAUUUUUUUAAGAGACAGGGUCUUGCUAUGUUGCCUAGGCUAGAUUCAAACUUCUGGGCUCAAGUGAUCCUCCGACCUCAGGCUCCUGAGUAGCUGGGACUACAGGCAUGCACCACCACGCCCAGCUUGAAAGAUAACUCAGUCUUUGAAAGUUAGGUAGUUAAAAAGAUAACUAAGUCUUUCUUCUAGUGUGGUUGAUACUUUAGAAUGGUUGAUUUUUUUUUUUUUUUUUUUUUUGAGACAGAAUCUCUCUCCAUCACCCAGGCUGGAGUGCAGUGGUGUGAUCUCAGCUCACUGCAACCUCCGCCUCCUGGGCUCAAGCGAUCCUCCCACCUCAGCCUUUCUGGUAGCUGGGAACACAGGUGUGUACCACCAUGCCCAGCUAAUUUUUUCUGUUUUUAGUAGAGACAGGGUUUCACUAUGUUGCCCAGGCUGGUCUCAAACUCCUGAGCUCAAGUGAUUCGAUCCACCUGCCUUGGCCUCCCAAAGCGUUGGGAUUACAGGCAUGAGCCACCAUGCCCAGCCUUGUAUGGCUGAUAUUUAUAAGUUCUUUUACCUUAUAAGUUUUCUGGAUUAUCAAAUUUGGGAAAUAAUUCUAUUUAGUGUUCUUUUGUACAUGACCUAUAAGAUUUGGGGGGCGUUUCUAAUUUUCUUAUGUGGUGACUCAACUUCUAUUCUCUUUGAAUUAACGACACUCAUUAACCAAGUUGUUGAUGAUGUCCUAGUUGCAGUCACAUGUUAUGAGUUGUAGGGUGGGCCGUGUUUGCAUGAGGACCUCAUGAGUUGAUUCCGUGGGCCUUAGCAGGAUUUCUAGAAGUUAUUCCUACACCACAAUGCUGGCAGUAACCUAACUGCACAUACAGAAGUAACUGCAAACCACGUAAACAUAGCCCACUAAAACUAAAAGCAUCUCCACUGCAACCUCCCCUAAGUCAGCUCCCCCAAAUGCCCAGCCAAGCAAGCGGCAUCCAGCAGGAGGGAAAGUCUGAAUGGCAAUAGCCCAUUUGCUAACAGAUUGCUCUCAAAAUAACUUGCUUUGUGAAUAUUACAAAAACACAUGACCAUGUGAACACAAGGUUAGGGUCCCUCCCAGGGCCUUGGUCAGGGUUGUGCAAAGGAGAGGCCUUGGGGUUAAGUUUCAUGGACUCCACGGUAAAUCUGGCCCUGACCAGAGUAAGCUGGGCAAAAGAAGAGGAUAAUGGCCAAGGAGGAUGGGGGUGGGGGUGGGGGUGUCUUGUUAGAAUUUAAGCUUGGAAAGCAGAAACAUAUUCUAGGAACCUUCUUUGAAGUAAUCUAAUCCAUGGUAGGGCCCAUGUUCUAAUAGGCGGAGGAAAAUCAUCUCGAGGGCUGGAGAGUUUGCAAAGAGGUCCCUGGUAUUCCUUAGAGGAGGGAACACGUGAAGGGCAUGGCUGCAGGGGGAGCUGGUGUGGUUUUGAAAGGUGUUUCUGUCCUUCACCUAAACAAGCUGGUGAGAAUUUCGGCCACCAGAAAAGGUUUGAUUUCCUCCUCUGUCACCUUACUCUCUUAAAUUCCUUUACCAAGGGCCAAAACCCACAGUUGCAACUUUGAGUGGAAUAGCUAGAGAAGCAAAUUCCCUGUCCCCCACCCCCAACUCCCGCCUAGAGAAUCUGCAGGGAUUUUCUCCUUCACACUUAGCAAUGCACCCGAGAGGGUUUUGAAGAGCUGAGGAAGCAAAGAGAAUGCAAAUGUCCCAGACACUUGGAGGGAGGUGCGGCUCUGAGGAGGGGAAGAGGCACAGGAGGUGGGUAUGGGCUCUGAAGAUAAAGUCUGCCUGCUUCACAGUUUUCCACAACCCUGGUUGGUGGGUCCUGCCCACUCUCAGCAGAUGGGCCCACAGAAGAGUGCUGAUGUUUGCGUCACUAUUAAUCACACAGCGCUGCCAGUGAAUUUGGUUUGCAAAACUGAAAUAUAUGCAACAGUUGAUGUGUGCACCUGUAGCUAAUUCACUUUCACAGUUGUAGAGUAUUCCAGUGUAUUUAUAUGGAGAGUUUGUCAAGAGGGACUAGGUAUUUUGUUGUUGUUGUUUGAUUUACUUCUAACUGCCUGAUACAUCAUAAAGAAUUUGGCUGGUCUUUAUUCUCAGUUCCUGGAGGAAGCUUCUAAACCCUUGGAAUUUCCUGAGUGACAGGAGUGUCUGUUAUUCAUGGUGGGCUCCUGGAACCAUAUCUGACUUAAUGCUAAUGAGGCAACUCAUGGUUGGUCCCUAGAUGGCUUCAGGAUGGGGAUGACUGUGAUUAGAAGGCUUGGGCUUUGAGCCACGUGGUAUCAGCCCAACUUCCAGGGGGUGGAGAGGGGCUGGAGGUUGAGUUCAGUUAGGUGGCCAAUGAUUAAAUCAAUCAUGCCUAGGUCAUGAACCUAACUCCUACCCUCCCCAAAAAACUCUGGGCACUGAAGCUCAAGUGAGCUUCCCUGGUUGAUGAUACAUACCCAUGUGCUAAGAAGGUGACAUGUCCUGAGAACACAAAAACUUCACAUUUGGGAGCUUCCCAGACCUCAUCCUCUAGGUCUCUUCUUUUGGCUGGUCCUGACUUUAAUCCUUUGUAAUAAAACUAUAAUAACAAAUGCAGGGCUUUUCUGAGUUCUGGGAACCAGUCAAGUGAAUGAUUAAAUCCGAGGGAAGAUGAGAAUCUCCAAAUUUGUAGCUCUUGGGUCAGAUGUGCAGGUGACCUAGGGACCCCCGGGCUUGUGGCAACUGACUGAGGUGAGAGCACCCUUGUGUGGGACUGCUCUUAACCUGCAAAGUUUGCCCUAAUUCUGAGGCAGAACUUAAUUGACAAAUUGCCAAAUAUCAUUUGGGUGCUAUUAUAAAUGGUAUACUAUUUAUGUUUUUUGCUUUUAGCCCCCAGUAUACACAAAUGAAAUUGAUUUUUGUAUAUUGAUCUUAUAUUUAGCAAUAUUGCUAAAGUCUUUUUAUUAAGUCACUAAUUUGGUUGAGUUUUAUUUAAACGAUCAAAUCAUCUGUGAAUAACAACAGUCUUAUUUUAUUUUGCUUGCUAGGACCACUAGUGCAAUGAUGUACUGAGAAAUAGUGAACACCUUUAUGUGUUCCUGGUUUUAAAGAAAAAGCUUUUAACAUUUCAUUGUUAAACAUAAUACGGCAGAAGGUUUUUGGUAGAAACAAUUUCUUUUGGAUGAAGGUAGUUCUUUUAUUCCUGGUUAUAUCAUUCACAGAUACUGAAUUUGCUAGAAUGCUUUUUCUGCAUCGAUUGAGAUGAUCAUGGGGUCUUUUUUUCCUCCUUUGUUUCUGGUACUUUUCUGGGUGCUGGGACAGAGCAGUGAACCAAGCAGAGAAGCUCCCAUUCUGUGACACCCAUAUGCUACGCCGUCUCUUUCAGAUAAAUACCGAAUGCUUCUCACUGAAUCAGAGGCAAGAAGCCACAGCCCUGUGCAUGAGCCUUCUCUGCAUCCUACAGCAGCUCCUGCAACCCUCCUGUGGCCCUGGGGCAGAACCCUGGGGAUCCAAGGAACAGGGUUUGAAAAUGUGUUUGGUGGAAAAUGCAUUGAGCCUCAAGUCAGAAGUCCUGGAGUCAAGCCCAGAUCUACCACUCACUCGUUUCAUAAGCCCAGGGUCAAGAUUCGAACAUCAGUUAUGAUUUGGAUCAUCACAUAGUGCAGCACUCAGAAGUCGAAGGGCGGAAGAAACCUCUCUAAAGAGCCUGAGAGCUGUGACUCUUGGACCCAGGAGACACCUGAAAUUAGUCCCUGCCUCCAGUCCCUCCAUUAAAUCUCUCCAAAAAGGAGCAGCUGACGGCAUUCUAGUGGCAACACAGGGCCCUCGAGACCACAGGCAAGCAGACACGUGGCCCAGAAGGAUUUCUGUGGGGGUUUUGCUUGUCCUGCCCAAGUGUUUGCCCAGCAGACUGCUCUUCUCGAGUUGCCAGGCGAGGUCACACCGCAGAGUCUCGCUGGGAGUGGGCACUUCAGACCCGGGUGCUGAUUCAGCUGGAAUGGAAGCAUCCAUUUCCUAAGCAGUCAGCCAGAGUUGAGCUUAAGGAGGCAAUACCCUUCUGGAUGGCCGUGAGUACCACAAGGGUAAAUAACCGACAUGGAUUUCAGGACAGUCUUACUUCACAUAGCAGACGUGUCCACUGGGCUCACAUUGGAUGGAGAAAAAUCUCGAUCUGUUUAAAGGAAGCUACAGGAAGCCAGCUGGCAAGAUGAGUGUUGUAAUGUGAGCAAACAUCCCUUAGCCAUCCAGCAGGUAUGAAGUUGUGUCGGUUUGGUUUGCUUAAAUCGGGAGCCACAUCUGAGAAGAAAAUCCAUUGUUCAGAAAGGACGCACCAUUGUAAAGAAUAUCAUGUGGACAAAGUUUUGGUGCUUUUUAGGAAGCAGUUUAGUGCUCUGGCUAAAUGAGGAUUAAGCAGAAAAGACUUUUUGUUUCAACUCCUGUUGCUGGAAAUCUCUCCAAAGAGUUCCCAUUCAAUCUCCUGCCUGGGUACAUAGCUGCCAGGGAACAGAAUUUAAUGUUUGAUGACUGAGUGACUUCCUUAGCUUCCAGUCUUUCUGAAUUUUAGUUCACUACGGUGCAAGGCUAUAGGCAGAAGUGUGGAAAACUGGAGUUACAUUUGGCAGCUUGGUCUGCAGAAGGUUCAGAAGAGAAAUUAAUUUGAAGUUAAAAACCAAAGAGUAACACGACUCCUAACGAGGCUUAUUUUUGUUUUGCUGUUCCUUGGUUUACUCCUGAAAGCAAAUCCAGUCUCUACCAUCACCUCAGGUGAGUUACUUCUAGGGGGCCUUUCUAGGGGGCUGGCUGAUUUCUAUGUCCUUACCUGGCUCUCCCAUUGUGUGUCUGAGAACCGUGGUGCUCUGGCCCCUUGAUAUUUUGCUCUUUUCUGCAUGCCAUGAUUGUAUCAGAACUCUCUGUGAAGGCAGCAGAUCAGUGCCACCGAGAAAACAGCAUGCUCCAGAGAGCUGCGUGUACCGAGUGUCAGUAUCUGGUGCCAUUCAAGAAGAUGGCAGGCUUUACAACAUUGGAUUCUCUUCCCAAACCGUCGGAAGGUGUGAAGUAAACAGCACUGGCCUCCCUUGAGAAGGCGAAGGAUGCAGGUCAUUCUGGUGUGAGGACUGGCUUGAUCUCACAGAGCCUCACAUCUGGAAUUUGGGGUCUUGGUCUCCAGAUGGGUGGCAAGGGAAGAUGCCAGGACAGGAGUCCUGCCUGGCUGGAUAAGCAAUCCCACGGCUGGCUUUAUGCCAUCCCGGUGCCUCCCCCACAUGCACUGCACAUUCAUUUCUCUACGCGUUCUUGUAGAUGACAGGAAAAUCUCACUUGGUAAAGCAGAUGUGUCCAUUGGGCCCCCGCUGGAUGAAGGAAAGUUUCCCUCUGCUUAAGACUUAAAGGGAACUGCAGGAUCUUCCCCAUAGCCACGUGUGGGAUGCUGGCCAUAUUCUCUCUCAUUGGACAGUGAGUGAGGAAGCCAAGACCCACCGGGCUUGGCAACUUGCUUGAGGUGGCACAGUUAACACUCAGGAGGCAGGGCUGGAACCCAGGCCCCUGAUGCCAGCCAACUGGCCUUUCUUCCACUUUGCUUCUGUGCCUUUAGAAGAAAGUUUCUAGGUGGGGAAUUCAAGGCACAGGCAGUAAUGUUUGCUCCUGGUCACUUGGUGAGUUGGGAGCAGAAUGGAGACUAGAAAUCAGAUCACCUGAAUCUCAGGCCAAGGUUUUGUUCCCAAAGGAGCAAUGGUUUUAGUACUGUGUGUUUCUGGUGGGCAUGGAACAUCCAUCAUGAGUGCUGUGAGCUAGGAGGCUUAGAGAGGAAACAGGAAAACAAGAAGGGGUGAGAAGAGAAGGAGAUGGAGGACAGCCAGGUGAACAAAGAUGGGGCCCGGUGCCACCGAAACAUGGAGACGUCUGCAGGGCACCUAACACACUGCUCCCGGCCCUCUGGCCUCAAUCCCUAUGGGUCUGCCUGGAGCCUCCUUUUUCAUCCUAUUUAGAUUCAUCCCAGUGCCUUCCCACUGAUGCCUUCUGGAGAGUUCCCAAGGCUGUUCACCCAGGCCUGCCUUCACCUGUCUUCCUCGGUGGUUGGAGCAAUCUGACCUCCCUCCCUUCCCACACAGCCUGCUCUCUGAGGGUGGCAGCUGCUGUAGUUAAUGAAUGGGUCCAAGCCACAGCCCACUGUGAUGGGGAGGCCAGGAGGUGUCUUCUCCUCACCCCCCGAAGGCAGAGCUCACCCAAGGGAGUGAAGGGGAAUAAAAGCUUUUUUUUUUUUUUGAGUCAGGGGCUCGCUCUCUCACCCAGGCUGGAGUAUAGUGGCUUGAUUACGGCUCACUGUAGCCUCAAACUCAUGGGCUCAGGUGAUCCUCCUGCCUCAGCCUCCUGAGUAGCUGGGACUACAGGUGCACGCCACCAUGCUCAGCUAAUUUAUUUUUUAUUUUUAGAAAAAGGGGUCUUGCGAUGUUUCUGCGGCUGGUCUCGAACUCCUGGCCUCAAGCAAUCCUCCCACCUCAGCGUCCCAAAGCACUAGGAUUAUAGAUGUGAGUCAUCACGCCUGGUCAAAGCUCUUCUUAAUUGCAAUAACAGAAGCCACUCAAAUAAGUUUAAGCAAAAAAGGGGCUCCACCAGGUUAUUUAAUGGAAUCAAGCCUCCAAAGGAAUGAAAACAUUAGCCAGAAAGUGCUCUAGCAACAGGGCAGCCCCCUCUCUCUACUCCGACUUCCCUUCUUUCCUUAGCACCCUCCAUCUGCACAACACAACCUGGCUCUCUCUGGCUCAGGAGGUCUCCGUGGUGCCAUCUGGUCUGUUCUCAGACAUGAAGGACUACAAGGGACCACAGGGGUCUGUUCUCAGACCUGACCCACUUCCUGCUGGUCAGGAGUGGGAGCAUGGAUGGUGAUCAGACGCCUUAAGGGGGACAUCCAGAGAGAAGCGAGACAAUCUAACCACUGUUAGUCUAUCACUGGACUCCAGCGCCAUGCCACCCUACACCCAGCUCCAUGCCACCCUACAUCCAGCUGUGUUGCCAGUUCUCCUGCAGCUCUGGGAGGGAGGAAACUUCUCCUCUGGGGCUGAAAGAGCUGUGUGGGUAAAUUCCAGGACUCUUAAAAAUAAUCUGGUCUAUAUAAGUUUUCCACUUAAAUAUAAACUCCACGAAGGCAGGAACCUUGUCUAGAGUCUUGUGUUUCAGCCUUGUAUCUCCAACACCUAGACCAUAGUUGGCAUUCAAAUAUUUGUUAAUUGAAUAAACGUAUUUAUUUUAAAACAGCUUCAUUGAGGUAUAACUGAAAUACAAUAACUGCACAUAUUUAGUGUGCUAUUUUGGUAAGUUUACACACACACACACACACACACACACACACACACACACCCCAUCACCAAUAAAAAUAAUGAACAUAUUAGGUCAGGAGUGGUAGCUCAAGCUUGUAAUCCCAGUACUUUGGGAGGGUGAGGCAGGCGGAUCACUCGAGGUCAGGAGUUCAAGACCAGCCUGGCCAACAUGGUGAGACUCCCGUCUCUACUAAAAAAAUAUAAAAAUUAGCUGGGCAUGGUGGUGCUUGCCUGUAAUCUCAGCUACUUGGGAGGCUGAGGCAGGAGAAUCACUUGAACCUGGGGGAUGGAGAUUGCAGUGAGCUUAGAUCACGCCACUGCACUCCAGCCUGGGCAACAGAGCAAGAUUCUGUCUCAAAAGAAAAAAAAAAGAACAUAUUCAUCAUCCUCAAAAUAUUCAUCAUUCCUCUUUGUAAUCCCUUUCCAUCCCUAGGCAACCACUAAUUUGUUUUCCAUCACUGUAGAUUAGUUUGCAUUUUCUAGAAUUUUACAUAAAUGGAACCACACAGAAUUUACUUCAUUUAUUUCUGUCAUCUUUCACUCAGCACAACUCUCCUGAGAUACAUCUGUAGUGUUGUGAAUGGUUUAUUCCCUUUUAUUGCCCAGUGGUGACUCCACUUUAUGGAAAGACUAGUGUUUUCAUUUGAAUGUUGAUGGACAUUUGGGUAGCUUUUAGGUUUUGGUUAUGGAAAAGCUGUGAUGAACAUUUGUAUACAAGUCUUUCUAUGAACAUAUGCUUUCAUUUCUCUUGGGUAAAUACAUAGAAGUGAAAUGUCUGGAUCAUAUGACAGAUGUAAGUUUUACUUUUAAAGAAACUGCCAAAUCAUUUUCCAAAAUGGUUAUAACAUUGAUUUUCAAAUAUUAAAUGAAAUUUGCAUUCCUGGGAUAAAACACUCUUGGUCAAUAUGUAUUAUCCUUUUUAUAUAUUGUUGGCUUCAAUUUGCUAAAAUUUUGUUUAGAAUUUUUGCAUCAAUAUUAAUGGAAGAUAUUAAUCUGUCACUUGCUUUUCUUAUACAGGUUUUUGUCAUGUUUUGCUAUCACAAUAAGGUUUAGAAUGAGUUGGGAAGUAUUCUCUUCAAUUUUUGGGAGAGUUUGUAGAAUUGAUAUUAUUUAUUUCCUAAAUAGCGGUAGAAUUCACCAAUGAAGCUAUUUGGGCCUGGAGGGUAUUUUUUUCUUUGUGGGAAGAUUUUAAACUACAUAUACGAUGCUUUUCAUAGAUAUAAGGUAUUCAAAUUAUCUCUUAAAAUUUUUUUCAAGAUAUAAUUCACACGUCGUAAAAUUCACCAUUUUAAAGUGUACUAUUUAGUGGGUUUUAGUUUAUUCACAAGGUAAUACAAUCAUCACUACUAUCUAAUUCCAGAACAUUUUCAACAACCUAACAAAAAACUCCAUACUCAUUAGCAGUCAUGCCCCAUUUUCUCCCAUUUCUCUGCCCUGGGCACCACUAAUCUAUUUUCUGUCUCUAUGGGUUUGCCUAUUCUGUACAUUUCAUAUAAAUGGCAUCCUACAAUAUGUGGCCUUUGUGUGACUGGCUUCUUUCACUUAGGAUAAUGGUUUCAAGGUUCACUCAUUAUAGCCUGUAUCAGCAUUUUAUUCCUUUCUAAGGCCUGAAUAGUCAAAACAAUCUUGAAAAGGAACAAAGUUGGAGUAUUCAUACUUCCUGACUUCAAAACGGACUACAAACUGCAGUAGUUGAGAUAGCAUAGUACUGGAAUAACAGCGAUAUAUACAGCAACAAAAAAUGAAGUCUAGAAAUAACUCUUACAUUUAUAGUUAAGUGAUAUUUGCAAAGAUUCCAAGACAAUUCAAUGGGAAAAAAUAGUGUUUUCAAGAGAUGGUGCUGGGAUCAUUACCCACAUGCAAAAGAAUGAAGUUGGACCCCCUAUCUCAUACAAUGUAUAAAAAUCAACUAAAAAAUGGAUCAAAGACCUAAACUGAAGAGCUAAAACUACAAAAAUUGAAGAAAUCAUAGGCAUAAAUCUUCAUGACCUUGGAUUAGACAGUGGUUUCUUAGAUAUGAUGCCACAAACAAAAGCAGCAAAAGAAAAAGGACAUAAACUAGAUAUCAUCAAAAUGAAAAACUUCUGUGCUUCAAAGGACAACAUCAAGGAAGUGAAAAAGACAACACAAAAGAACUUGAGUUGAAAAUUUGGGUUGAAAUUUUUUUUGCAAUUAUCCAUCUAAUAAGGGACUUACAUUUGGAAUAUUUAAAAAACUUUUAUAAUUCAAUAAUUUUAAAAACCCAAUUAAAAAUGAACAAAGGGUCUAAAUAGACAGUUCUCCAGAGAAGAUAUACUAAUGGCCAAUUAGCACAUGAAAAGAUGUUCAACGUCAUCAGCCAUCUGGGAAAUGCAAAUCAAAACCACAAUGAAACACCACUUCACAUCCACUAGGAUGGCUAAAAUUUAAAAAAAAAAAAGUGUUGGUGAGGAUGUGGAUAAAUUGAAUCCUUAUACAUUGCUAGUGGGAAUGCAAAAUAGUGUGGCCCCUUUGGAAAACAGUCUGGUAGCUCCUCAAGCAGUAGCACAUGACCCAGUAAUUUCGCUCCUAGGUAUAUACCCAAGAGAAGUGAAAACAUAUCCACAUAAAAACUUGUACAUGAAUGUUCAUGGCAGCUUUAUCAUAAGAGCCAAAAAGUAGCAACAACCCAAAUGUCCAUCAGCUAAUGAAUGGACAAACAAAAUGUGACAUAUCCAAACAAUGAAAUAGUACUUGGCAAUAAAAAGAAAUGAAGUACUCAUACCUGCUUCAAUCACAUGGAUAAACCUUGAAAACAUUAUGCUGAGUGAAAGAAGUCACAAAGGACCACAUGUUGUGUGACUCUACUUAUGUGAAAUAUUCGGACUAGGCAAAUCCAUAGAUAGAGAAAGCUGACUAGUGGUUGUCUAAGGUUGGGGGAUGAGGGACCUUGUGGGGACAGGUGAUGCUGAAGGGGGAUGGGAUGAUGUUUCUUUUGGGGGUAAUGAAAAUGUUCUAAAACUGAUUCUGCUGAUGGACAUACAUUUCUGAAUACAUUAAAAGUCAUUGAAUUGUAGACUUUAAAUAGGUGAACUGUAUGGUAUGUUAAUAUAUCUCAAUAACAUUGUUUUUAAAAAGAGUUUAGGCCAGGCGCGGUGGCUCACACCUGUAAUCCCAGUACUCUGGGAGGCUGAGGUGGGCGGAGUACCUGAGGUCAGGAGUUCAAGACCAGCCUGGCCAAUGUGGUGAAACCCU
rnacentral:lncRNA from 10 species